GACAGAGGAUGCAAGCGUUAUCCGGAAUGAUUGGGCGUAAAGCGUCUGUAGGUGGCUUUUUAAGUCCGCCGUCAAAUCCCAGGGCUCAACCCUGGACAGGCGGUGGAAACUACCAACGCUGGAGUACGGUAGGGGCAGGAGGGAAUUUCCGGGAUUGGAGCGGUGGAAAUGCGUAGAGAUCGGAAAGAACACCAACGGCGAAAGCACUCUGCUGGGCCGACACUGACACUGAGAGACGAAAGCUAGGGGAGCGAAUGGG
rnacentral:rRNA from 1 species